GUAGCUGAAGGGGAAGUAGUGUCUCUGAGAGCUCUGUGAAGAAGCUUGGGGAGCAAUCCACAGCAGGAAGCAAAGUGGGGAAGCUAUGGAAGCCCCUGAGAGAUGGUGGCUACAUCACAGCCAGGUGCAGAGCUGACGGUGCGGAGCCAAAGUCCAAAACAAGUUCAUAUGGCACUGUCACAAUCGCAUCCAGUUCUUGUCAAAUCCAACAUAUUACCUGAGCUAGGCUGCACUCCACCUCACAUCCCAACUGGGCCACGCUUAGCUGUUACACUUGGUUACUUCACAGUCACAUCAGGCCUUUCUCCAGGAGAAGGAAGAAGAGAUGGAGACAGAGAUGAUGGCCAGCAAGGAGGCUGUCCACAAAGACACACCUGGAGCUACCUGGAAGACAGUCACUGCAUGCUCCAGGAAACAGAGGGCCAUAGCUGCUCCUCCUCUGGCCCUGCACAACAGGUAUGCUCCCCUC